GCAUGGCCGAAUUCUGAUUUACUCUUAAAGUGGUAAACUCAGUCAGACACCAUGCAAAAGAAACAGUUUUCACACACUGACUUUACAAUGAAUGAGAAAUCUUGUGUGGCUCAUUCUGCUGUCAGAGUGAAUACAUUU